rfam:Legionella longbeachae NSW150, complete genome
GUGGCUGGACGUAUAGUCGGGAAAUCUUCAGGAACCUUUACCGUUCGGUAAGGGAAGUUCUUCGGGACUCUAAGUCA